rnacentral:rRNA from 1 species
UACGUAGGGAGCGAGCGUUGUCCGGAUUCAUUGGGCGUAAAGAGCUCGUAGGCGGCUUGGUAAGUCGGAUGUGAAACCUCCAGGCUCAACCCGGAGUCGCCAUCCGAUACUGCCAUGGCUAGAGUCCGGUAGGGGCCCACGGAAUUCCUGGUGUAGCGGUGAAAUGCGCAGAUAUCAGGAGGAACACCGAUGGCGAAGGCAGUGGGCUGGGCCGGCACUGACGCUGAGGAGCGAAAGCGUGGGGAGCGAACAGG